ensembl:lncRNA
UGGGCUGCCGUCUAUGGGGUCGCACAGAGUCGGACACGACUGAAGUGACUUAGCAGCAGCAGCAUGAGGAGAUGGAAACUUUUUAUUUUUGUCCCCAUCCCUCAGCAUGUGGGCUCUUACUUCCCCAACUAGGGAUCGAACCCCUGCCCCUUGCAAUGGCAGCUCAGUCUUAACCACUGGAACUCCAAAGAAGUCCCUGUUUUUCUUUUUAAAUGGCUCUUGAAGAAUGAUUGCACAACCAGAAAGAACAAAACCCUUUCUUUUCCUCUUCCACAAACAGUGUUCACCUUUAUCAACUCUUCCCAUAUCCAUCCGAGUUUAGCACUUAAGAGUUUAAAGCAGACAACAAAUACUACAACCUGCUCUCUUUUUAAAAAAAACAGAUGCUGAAGGAAGUAGAAAGCUAUGUCAGUCAUACAUCCCGCCAUAAAUCAGGCCCUCUGUUCAUGGACAGAACCAGCAUCGGACUUGGGAGGAAAAGGCACACACAGAAGCCUGAUGCUGUGGGAAAUCCUGCUCACACAGACAGAAAGCAAGCAAGAGUCUCCAGUGGACUUGCUAACGUGUUCUUAUAAAUCUAUAAUCCUGCCACCACUCCCCCCAAUAUAUCCACCAUGAUGUUCAUAGAUAGUAAAAUGAAUGGUUU